rnacentral:rRNA from 1 species
CCUACGGGUGGCAGCAGUGGGGAAUAUUGCACAAUGGCGGGCACUCUGAUGCCGCGACGCCGCGUGAGUGAAGCAGUAAUUCGUUAUGUAAAGCUCUAUCAGAAGGGAAGAAAGUGACGGUCCCUGGAAAAGAAGCUCCUGCGAAAUAAGUGCCAGCAGCCGCAGUAAUACGUAGGGAGCGAGCGUAUUCCGGAUUUACUGGGUGUAAAGGGAGAGUAGGUGGCAGAGCAAGUCCGAAGUGAAAACCCAAAGCUCAACUAUGGGAAUGCUUUAGAAACUGCUCAGCUAGAGUGCAGGAGAGGCAAGUGGAAUUCUUAGUGUAGCGGUGAAAUGCGUAGAUAUUAGGAGGAACACCAGUGGCGAAGGCGGCUUGCUGGACUGUAACUGACACUGAGGCUCGAAAGCGUGGGGAGCAAACAGGAUUAGAUACCCGUGUAGUC